GAUGAACGCUGGCGGCGUGCUUAACACAUGCAAGUCGAACGAUGAAGCUCAGCUUGCUGGGUGGUUUAGUGGCGAACGGGUGAGUAAUACGUGAGUAACCUGCCCUUAACUCUGGGAUAAGCCCGGGAAACUAGGUCUAAUACCGGUUAGGAGCGCCUACCGCAUGGUGGGUGUUGGAGAGAUUUAGCGGUUUUGGAUGGACUCGUGGCCUAUCAGCUUGUUGGUGAGGUAAUGGCUCACAAAGGCGACGCCGGGUCGGCGGCCUGAGAGGGUGGCCGGCCACACGGGGACUACGAGACGGCCCAGACUGCUACGGGAGGCAGCGGGGGGAAAUAUUGCACAGUGGGGGAAAGCCUGAUGCAGCGGCGCCGCGUGAGGAAUGACGGCCUUCGGGUUGUAAACCUCUGUCAGUAGAGAAGAAGCGAUAGUGACGGUACCUGCAGAAGAAGCACCGGCUAACUACGUG
rnacentral:rRNA from 1 species